AGGCAGGCUUCUUGGGGGCCAUGCAGAAGGCUCCUGGAGGGUGAGAGAGGAAGUGCAGUUGCCUGGUGAGGCCAGGUCUUUGAAGAGGCCAAGAGAUGGCGUUCCCAACAGAAGAACGGCCUGAAGUUGAAAGGCCCUGGGGGUGUUAAUGUCUCUGCUUUCUCCAGAAAGAUUUAGGACGUCAAGUCGUCUGAAAAGAUUUCCUUUUUGGAGAACAAGCCCCGCUCUUUGGGGUACCGGAGGGUCUCUAAGAAGCACUGCCUGUCCCAGUUUCUACAAAGUUGGGGCCGCCUCUCUGGGAUAGGCCAGUCCAGCUCUGAAAGCUGAGCCAAGGGGCUGUUUCUGGAAGUUGGAAGAAUCAUGGUGAAACGGCACAAGUAUGGGCUGUUCAACAAUUAACCAGGGGCUCUCUCGAAUGGCAGGUCAUCAUCUUAGGAGACCCCAGGCUUUUGCUUGCAGGAGACUCAUCAUGGCCUCACUUUCUCAUCAUAAAACCUCUCCAGCUUCAAGGGCCAGGCCUGCUAGUCCACUCGGAGCAGAUGCACAUCCGGA
rnacentral:lncRNA from 1 species